AAACCAACUGGGAUUACCUUAGUAACGGCGAGUGAAGCGGUAAAAGCUCAAAUUUGAAAUCUGGUACUUUCAGUGCCCGAGUUGUAAUUUGUAGAAUUUGUCUUUGAUUAGGUCCUUGUCUAUGUUCCUUGGAACAGGACGUCAUAGAGGGUGAGAAUCCCGUUUGGCGAGGAUACCUUUUCUCUGUAAGACUUUUUCGAAGAGUCGAGUUGUUUGGGAAUGCAGCUCAAAGUGGGUGGUAAAUUCCAUCUAAAGCUAAAUAUUGGCGAGAGACCGAUAGCGAACAAGUACAGUGAUGGAAAGAUGAAAAGAACUUUGAAAAGAGAGUGAAAAAGUACGUGAAAUUGUUGAAAGGGAAGGGCAUUUGAUCAGACAUGGUGUUUUUUGCAUGCACUCGCCUCUCGUGGGCUUGGGCCUCUCAAAAAUUUCACUGGGCCAACAUCAAUUCUGGCAGCAGGAUAAAUCAUUAAGAAUGUAGCUACUUCGGUAGUGUUAUAGCUUUUUAGGAAUACUGUUAGCCGGGUA
rnacentral:rRNA from 1 species